GACGAACGCUGGCGGCGUGCCUAAUACAUGCAAGUAGAACGCUGAAGGAGGAGCUUGCUUCUCCUGCUGAGUUGCGAACGGGUGAGUAACGCGUAGGUAACCUGCCUGGUAGCGGGGGAUAACCUUUCGAAAGGAUACCUACUACCUCAUACCAUACGAUGUUCCUUUCCAUUUCUUUAAACUUUGCAAUUUCCUCACUCCCAUAUGGCCCUGCCUUUUUUUAUCUAUUUGGUGGGGGAACGGCUCACCAAGGCGACUAUACAUAGCCGACCUGAGAGGGUGAUCGGCCACACAGGGACUGAGACACGGCCCAGACUCCUACGGGAAGGAGCAGUAGGGAAACUUCGGCAAUGGACGGAAGGCUGACCGAACAAAGCCGCGUGAGGGAAGAAGGUUUUCGGAUCGUAAAGCUCUGUUGUAAGAGAAGAACGAGUGUGAGAGUGGAAAGUUCACACUGUGACGGUAUCUAACGAGAAAGGGACGGCUAACUACGUG
rnacentral:rRNA from 1 species